UGACAGCCCCGUACACAAAAAUGCACAUAUUGUGAGCUCGAUGAGUAGGGCGGGACACGUGGUAUCCUGUCUGAAUAUGGGGGGACCAUCCUCCAAGGCUAAAUACUCCUGACUGACCGAUAGUGAACCAGUACCGUGAGGGAAAGGCGAAAAGAACCCCGGCGAGGGGAGUGAAAAAGAACCUGAAACCGUGUACGUACAAGCAGUGGGAGCCUCUUAAUGGGGUGACUGCGUACCUUUUGUAUAAUGGGUCAGCGACUUAUAUUCUGUAGCAAGGUUAACCGAAUAGGGGAGCCGAAGGGAAACCGAGUCUUAACUGGGCGUUAAGUUGCAGGGUAUAGACCCGAAACCCGGUGAUCUAGCCAUGGGCAGGUUGAAGGUUGGGUAACACUAACUGGAGGACCGAACCGACUAAUGUUGAAAAAUUAGCGGAUGACUUGUGGCUGGGGGUGAAAGGCCAAUCAAACCGGGAGAUAGCUGGUUCUCCCCGAAAGCUAUUUAGGUAGCGCCUCGUGAAUUCAUCUCCGGGGGUAGAGCACUGUUUCGGCAAGGGGGUCAUCCCGACUUACCAACCCGAUGCAAACUGCGAAUACCGGAGAAUGUUAUCACGGGAGACACACGGCGGGUGCUAACGUCCGUCGUGAAGAGGGAAACAACCCAGACCGCCAGCUAAGGUCCCAAAGUCAUGGUUAAGUGGGAAACGAUGUGGGAAGGCCCAGACAGCCAGGAUGUUGGCUUAGAAGCAGCCAUCAUUUAAAGAAAGCGUAAUAGCUCACUGGUCGAGUCGGCCUGCGCGGAAGAUGUAACGGGGCUAAACCAUGCACCGAAGCUGCGGCAGCGACACUAUGUGUUGUUGGGUAGGGGAGCGUUCUGUAAGCCUGUGAAGGUGGCCUGUGAGGGUUGCUGGAGGUAUCAGAAGUGCGAAUGCUGACAUAAGUAACGAUAAAGCGGGUGAAAAGCCCGCUCGCCGGAAGACCAAGGGUUCCUGUCCAACGUUAAUCGGGGCAGGGUGAGUCGACCCCUAAGGCGAGGCCGAAAGGCGUAGUCGAUGGGAAACAGGUUAAUAUUCCUGUACUUGGUGUUACUGCGAAGGGGGGACGGAGAAGGCUAUGUUGGCCGGGCGACGGUUGUCCCGGUUUAAGCGUGUAGGCUGGUUUUCCAGGCAAAUCCGGAAAACCAAGGCUGAGGCGUGAUGACGAGGCACUACGGUGCUGAAGCGACAAAUGCCCUGCUUCCAGGAAAAGCCUCUAAGCAUCAGGUAACAUCAAAUCGUACCCCAAACCGACACAGGUGGUCAGGUAGAGAAUACCAAGGCGCUUGAGAGAACUCGGGUGAAGGAACUAGGCAAAAUGGUGCCGUAACUUCGGGAGAAGGCACGCUGAUAUGUAGGUGAAGCGACUUGCUCGUGGAGCUGAAAUCAGUCGAAGAUACCAGCUGGCUGCAACUGUUUAUUAAAAACACAGCACUGUGCAAACACGAAAGUGGACGUAUACGGUGUGACGCCUGCCCGGUGCCGGAAG
rnacentral:rRNA from 1 species